GACGAACGCUGGCGGCGUGCCUAAUACAUGCAAGUCGAGCGAGACUCUUCGGAGUCUAGCGGCGGACGGGUGAGUAACACGUGGGCAACCUGCCUGUAAGACUGGGAUAACACCGGGAAACCGGUGCUAAUACCGGAUAAUCCUUUUCCUCUCAUGAGGAAAAGCUGAAAGUCGGUUUCGGCUGACACUUACAGAUGGGCCCGCGGCGCAUUAGCUAGUUGGUGAGGUAACGGCUCACAAAGGCGACGAUGCGUAGCCGACCUGAGAGGGUGAUCGGCCACACUGGGACUGAGACACGGCCCAGACUCCUACGGGAGGCAGCAGUAGGGAAUCUUCCACAAUGGACGAAAGUCUGAUGGAGCAACGCCGCGUGAGCGAUGAAGGCCUUCGGGUCGUAAAGCUCUGUUGUUAGGGAAGAACAAGUAUCGGAGUAACUGCCGGUACCUUGACGGUACCUAACCAGAAAGCCACGGCUAACUACGUGCCAGCCGCCGCCGUAA
rnacentral:rRNA from 1 species